rnacentral:rRNA from 1 species
UACGUAGGGUGCAAGCGUUAAUCGGAAUUACUGGGCGUAAAGCGUGCGUAGACGGUUGCGUAAGUCAGAUGUGAAAGCCCCGGGCUCAACCUGGGAAUUGCAUUUGAGACUGCGCAGCUAGGGUGCGGAAGAGGGAAGCGGAAUUUCCGGUGUAGCGGUGAAAUGCGUAGAUAUCGGAAGGAACACCAGUGGCGAAAGCGGCUUCCUGGUCCAGCACCGACGUUCAGGCACGAAAGCGUGGGGAGCAAACAGG